rnacentral:rRNA from 1 species
UACAGAGGGUGCGAGCGUUAAUCGGAAUUACUGGGCGUAAAGGGCGCGUAGGCGGGUUAUUAAGUUAGAUGUGAAAUCCCUGGGCUUAACCUAGGAACUGCAUCUAAUACUGGUAGUCUAGAGUGCGGUAGAGGAUAGUGGAAUUUCCGGUGUAGCGGUGAAAUGCGUAGAUAUCGGAAGGAACACCAGUGGCGAAGGCGGCUAUCUGGACUGACACUGACGCUGAGGCGCGAGAGCGUGGGGAGCAAACAGG